rnacentral:rRNA from 1 species
GAUGAACGCUGGCGGCGUGCCUAAUACAUGCAAGUCGAGCGAACAGACGAGGAGCUUGCUCCUCUGACGUUAGCGGCGGACGGGUGAGUAACACGUGGAUAACCUACCUAUAAGACUGGGAUAACUUCGGGAAACCGGAGCUAAUACCGGAUAAUAUAUUGAACCGCAUGGUUCAAUAGUGAAAGACGGUUUUGCUGUACUUAUAGAUGGAUCCGCGCCGCAUUAGCUAGUUGGUAAGGUAACGGCUUACCAAGGCAACGAUGCGUAGCCGACCUGAGAGGGUGAUCGGCCACACUGGAACUGAGACACGGUCCAGACUCCUACGGGAGGCAGCAGUAGGGAAUCUUCCGCAAAGGGCGAAAGCCUGACGGAGCAACGCCGCGUGAGUGAUGAAGGUCUUCGGAUCGUAAAACUCUGUUAUUAGGGAAGAACAAAUGUGUAAGUAACUAUGCACGUCUUGACGGUACCUAAUCAGAAAGCCACGGCUAACUACGUG